rnacentral:rRNA from 1 species
CCUGCCCUUCAGAGGGGGACAACAGUUGGAAACGACUGCUAAUACCGCAUACGAUCUGACCUCGGCAUCGAGGGUGGAUGAAAGGUGGCCUCUAUUUAUAAGCUAUCACUGAAGGAGGGGAUUGCGUCUGAUUAGCUAGUUGGAGGGGUAACGGCCCACCAAGGCGAUGAUCAGUAGCCGGUCUGAGAGGAUGAACGGCCACAUUGGGACUGAGACACGGCCCAG